rnacentral:rRNA from 1 species
CAGUCGCCGCGGGAAUACGUAGGGUGCAAGCGUUAAUCGGAAUCACUGGGCGUAAAGCGUGCGCAGGCGGUUGUGUAAGACAGGUGUGAAAUCCCCGGGCUUAACCUGGGAACUGCGCUUGUGACUGCACAGCUAGAGUAUGGCAGAGGGGGGUGGAAUUCCACGUGUAGCAGUGAAAUGCGUAGAGAUGUGGAGGAACACCGAUGGCGAAGGCAGCCCCCUGGGCCAAUACUGACGCUCAUGCACGAAAGCGUGGGGAGCAAACAGGAUUAGAUACCCCCGUAGUCCCUGUCUCUUAUAC